AGUGAACGCUGGCGGUAGGCCUAACACAUGCAAGUCGAACGGCAGCACAGUAAGCGCUUGCUCUUACGGGUGGCGAGUGGCGGACGGGUGAGGCAUACAUCGGAAUCUACUUUUUCGUGGGGGAUAACGUAGGGAAACUUACGCUAAUACCGCAUACGACCUACGGGUGAAAGCAGGGGAUCUUCGGACCUUGCGCGAUUGAAUGAGCCGAUGUCGGAUUAGCUAGUUGGCGGGGUAAAGGCCCACCAAGGCGACGAUCCGUAGCUGGUCUGAGAGGAUGAUCAGCCACACUGGAACUGAGACACGGUCCAGACUCCUACGGGAGGCAGCAGUGGGGAAUAUUGGACAAUGGGCGAAAGCCUGAUCCAGCCAUACCGCGUGAGUGAAGAAGGCCUUCGGGUUGUAAAGCCCUUUUGUUAGGAAAGAAAAGCAGCAGGUUAAUACACGGCUGUUCUGACGGUACCCAAAGAAUAAGCACCGGCUAACUUCGUG
rnacentral:rRNA from 1 species